rnacentral:rRNA from 1 species
UCGGGGAUGCUAUUGCAUACAGGACAUUGUGGUGUUAAGGCAUGUACCUGGGACUGCGAAUCUACCCGAAGUCCAACUCCGAUUGUGGCUUUGGAUAUUGCCCAUAGCGGGUGAGAGGCCCGUACGGGUAGAUUCUUGUUGUUAUGCAGUCCUCAGAUGUGCGUGCUUUCGAGUCGGAUUGCUUGAGAAUGCAGUCCAAAGUGGGUGGUAAACUCCAUCCAAGGCUAAAUACUGGCACGAGUCCGAUAGUAGACAAGUACCGUGAGGGAAAGUUGAAAAGUACUCUGAAGAGAGAGUAAAUAGCACGUGAAGCCGGUUGCAGGGAAGCUGGUGGAGUCAAGCUUCAUGCUUGAGAAAUUUGUGCAAGUAACAUUGUGUUCAUUGUAUGCAUGGUCGGUCAACUUGGAAUAAGUUGGGUGCAUUCGUGUGCUCCGAGUCAUUCUGGGUAGUGUGUUUGGGCUGAUCAUGUAUUACUGUUGCUUGUACCCUAUUUCUCGUGGCAUAAAUCAGGGUCUAUAGCCUUGUUUGUUGACGUGCUGUAUGAUCGUCUAACUGUGCUAUGGCUGACUUUGUGUUUGUCUGGUACAGGAUGGCAGGUUGAGGCUUCAGUCCUUGUGAUUGUUAGUCUCUUAUAGUGGUUUUGACCAGCUGAUGUUCAUGCAGUAUCGUGGCUAUAGUUGUUCCGUUGUUAUACAGUUCUCAUCAACUGUGUAUCAGUAAGAACCCUGAUUCUGAGGUAGACGUUCCACCCGACCCGUCUUGAAACACGGACCAAGGAGUUUAACAUGUACGCAAGUCAAUGGGCCCAUUAUGAAACCCAAAGGCGCAAUGAAAGUGAAAGAGUCUUUGUGGCUCUUAGGUGUGAUUCUGGCUUGCCCUAACAAGGCGGUUGGACGCAGCACCGGCCCGUCUUAAAAUGUUGUCACAUUGGUCACGGCCAGUGUGCGUCAUGAGGCGGAGCAAGAUGAGAUCAGUGCUCUUUCA